rnacentral:rRNA from 1 species
UACGUAGGGGGCAAGCGUUAUCCGGAUUUACUGGGAGUAAAGGGAGCGCAGACGGCAGUGCAAGUCUGGAGUGAAAGCCCGGGGCUCAACCCCGGCCCGCCGUUGAAACUGGCAGUCUCGAGUUGGAGAGAAGUAUGCGGAAUGCGCGGUGUAGCGGUGAAAUGCAUAGAUAUCGCGCAGAACUCCGAUUGCGAAGGCAGCAUACCGGCGCCCGACUGACGCUGAGGCACGAAAGCGUGGGGAUCGAACAGG